GGGGGGGGGGGGGGGGGGGGGGGGGGGGGGGGGGGGGGGCGGGGGGGGGGGGGGGGGGGGGGGCGGACGUUAGCGGGGGAGGGGUGAGGGGCGCGUGGGUGAGCUACCUAUCAGAGGGGGGUAGCUUCGGGGAACGGGGGCUAGUCCCGGAUAAUAUCUUGGACCGCCUGGUUCAGUAGUGAAGGGCGGUUUUGCUGUCACUUAUCGCUGGCGCCGCGCCGCAUUAGCUAGUUGGUAAGGUAACGGCUUACCAAGGCAACGAUGCGUAGCCGACAUGAGAGGGUGAUCGCCCACACUUGAACUGAGACCCGGUCCAGACUCCUACGGGAGGCAGCAGUAGGGAAUCUUCCGCAAUGGGCGAAGGCCUGACGGAGCAACGCCGCGUGAGUGAUGAAGGUCUUCGGAUCGUAAAACUCUGUUAUUAGGGAAGAACAAAUGUGUAAGUAACUAUGCACGUCUUGACGGUACCUAAUCAGAAAGCCACGGCUAACUACGUG
rnacentral:rRNA from 1 species